rnacentral:rRNA from 1 species
AUUGAACGCUGGCGGAAUGCUUUACACAUGCAAGUCGAACGGCAGCACGGGGGCAGCCCUGGUGGCGAGUGGCGAACGGGUGAGUAAUACAUCGGAACGUGCCCCGUCGUGGGGGAUAACGUAGCGAAAGUUACGCUAAUACCGCAUACGAUCUGAGGAUGAAAGCGGGGGACCGUCGGGCCUCGCGCGAUCGGAGCGGCCGAUGUCAGAUUAGGUAGUUGGUGGGGUAAAGGCCUACCAAGCCGACGAUCUGUAGCUGGUCUGAGAGGACGACCAGCCACACUGGGACUGAGACACGGCCCAGACUCCUGCGGGAGGCAGCAGUGGGGAAUUUUGGACAAUGGGCGCAAGCCUGAUCCAGCCAUUCCGCGUGCAGGACGAAGGCCUUCGGGUUGUAAACUGCUUUUGUACGGAACGAAAAGGCUCUGGCUAAUACCUGGGGCUCAUGACGGUACCGUAAGAAUAAGCACCGGCUAACUACGUG